rnacentral:tRNA from 1 species
CGAGAGUGACGGGCGAUGUGUUCAUACCCCAUUAAUAGAGGAAAUCUCUCUUCUCUA